AUUGAACGCUGGCGGCAUGCCUUACACAUGCAAGUCGAACGGCAGCAUGGGUGCUUGCACCUGGUGGCGAGUGGCGAACGGGUGAGUAAUAUAUCGGAACGUACCUUAUUGUGGGGGAUAACGCAGCGAAAGCUGUGCUAAUACCGCAUAAUCCCUAAGGGGGAAAGCGGGGGACCGUAAGGCCUCGCGCAAUUAGAGCGGCCGAUACCUGAUUAGCUAGUUGGUGGGGUAAAGGCUCACCAAGGCAACGAUCAGUAGCUGGUCUGAGAGGACGAUCAGCCACACUGGGACUGAGACACGGCCCAGAGUCCUACGGGAGGCAGCAGUGGGGAAUUUUGGACAAUGGGGGCAACCCUGAUCCAGCAAUGCCGCGUGAGUGAAGAAGGCCUUCGGGUUGUAAAGCUCUUUUGUCAGGGAAGAAACAGCAGCUCCAACACAGUUUGCGAAUGACGGUACCUGAAGAAUAAGCACCGGCUAACUACGUGCCAGCCGCCGCUGUAA
rnacentral:rRNA from 1 species